AGAAGAAGAAGAAGAGGCUGUGACGCAUGCAACAUUUUAACAUUUGCAGAAGAGUCUUUUGUCCAAGAAGAGAUACGCUGAUAACAUAGUUCAUCCAGCAAAAGAAGUGUUAAUACCCUGUUGGGAAAAAGAAAAGGUGGGUGUUACUUAAAGUGAAAGAAGUUACGUUAAGUUACGGUAAGUCGGGACUUUCUCACUUCAGUCUGUGGUCUAUAAUGUAGAGUUUAAUAUAGACCAGUCUUGCGUUAUUAAUACUGUAUUACUCGUGGGACUUUAGACAUGGGGCAUUGAAUUAGUGUUUCAUUAAGCAUGUAAUGUUAUCUUUGUGUCUUCUUGGCAUUUCUAACUUCAGACAUUGUUCACGGAAAGUAGGCUAUGUGACGUCAUGUCGAUGCAUUUAUAAAUCGCUCGUGAUUCAUAGUGAGUCCCUUUUGAAUCUGGCAGUAGCCCGACAUAGGCUACCAUGUGCCGACGGUAAAACUUUAUAGGCUACAGCACGUUGUUACAUGCAAUAUAUCACGGGCUUUCAUUAAUGUUAAUUGUAUGUGUAGGGCUUACAGUGUAGCCUACUCGUGAGAUUUGGAAGGAUUUUUCUGUUUGUUUCAAUUAGGUGCCUAUUUUAAAUCAACACACACACAAAAAAAGAGAUGAAAAAAUGACUUAAGCCUGAAAUGUACUUUUAAUAUGGUAAAUUAAAUGCUCAGCGAUAUAUUUAAAAUAGAUUAGAUUUUUUUUUUCUAUUGAUUUGGCAUGCCACGUGUUUUUAAUAGGCUACGUGUGUAUGUGUGGAAAGCAAAGUGUAAUAAUUCAAUGUUGUUUUCAAAAAAGAAUAUCAAAUCAUAAAAAAUGUGAUGUUUAUAUUUCUUUUAAAAAUCUAAAUGAACAUAUUUCAAAUAAUAUUUUAAUGAGAUGUUCAGUAUUUUUUUUUUAUUAAUUAUUAUUUUUUUUAAACAAAUGCUUAGAAAACCACCGAUGGCCAGUAAAUGUGAGUACUCUAAUUGUGUAUUCUAUUCAAUGGCACAAUGUCAAUUUAGCAACUUUUAGCAUCAAACUGACCUGCCUUUAGCAACUUCUGUUGAAAAUUAGUUUACAGCAUUUGAGAUUUUAAUAUAAGUGAGCUUAAUUUUUGCUGUAUGCUGACAGGAUAGCAUUAGUUUAUUAUUAAUAUUAUUAAUAUUUUAAUAAUUUUUCUUUAUGGUUCACAGGUGCUGUAUCAUUACCGUGUUCGUACUGUUAACAGGUUCAGGUAUGAACAGGGCAAAGAAAGUUCAAAGUCUCUCUCCAUCAGGUUGUUGAAGUCACUGAAGGAGGCUCUGUCAUCUUGAAUUGCAGUCAAAACAGUAUUGUGCUUGAAGAUAAACAGCCGACAGUCCACUGGAGACACAACGACACCAGGAAUGUAUUCGACAUUAUCAAUGGAAAUGUUUCUAUAAAGGAGCAGGAUCCAGCGUACAAGAACAGAGCAGAAAUUGUACAUGAGGAGCUCAAGAAGGGGAAAGUCUUUCUCAAACUCACCGAUCUUCAGCUCUCUGAUGGAGGAAUGUAUCUCUGUUUUGUCCCAGAUUUGGGACUUGAGCACAGCACACAGCUGCUGGUCAAAGAAAGAUGCAUGAUGUGCACAACUGCUGAAAUAACAAGCCACGGUGCAGGAGCAAGACUGGGAAAGACUCUGUACCUCCUGAUACAAUCAUCUGGAUUCAUUGUGCUUUGUUUGAUUUAAUAGUGAAGCAAUGUGCUUCUCAAGGAGGAUAAAAUCACAUCAGUACCAGUGAUUGAGGGUCAAUCUGUCACGCUCCACACUGAUCUUACUGAAAUACGAGAAAUUGACAUGAUAUGGUGGAAGUCUGCAGAUUCCAAAGAACGCAGUUGUGCUAAAUUUGUUUUAAUAGCUACGCUGAAUAAAACAAACAAUGAGGUAAAGCUAUAUGAUGAAACAAUACAACAGUUCAAAGACCGUUUGAAACUCUCAUCAUAAACAUCACACCUGAACAUUAUGGAUAUUAUAAACUACACAUCACCAGCAGAGAAGAGAUGGUAGUUCAUACCUUCAGUGUUGUUGCUCAUGUGAGGAGGGCAAGUCUUUUAAAGUAAUAUUUGUCUUACUAAUAAAGAGAGAUCGUAAAAGAAAGGAAAUCCAGUUUUGUACUUUGCAUCUUUUUUGAAAUACCUUUUAUGUGUAUACUAUGUUUUUUAUAUUUUAAUCUAAUUUUCCACUGUCCCACUUUAGGAAAUAUGGUUUCGAAAAGUGGGACAGUAUAAUUAGCCUAAUGUGGGACAGUACUAAAAUGUGUGGAGGGGCAUGGUUUGUGGGGCAAAAAUGAUUAUUUACAGAGUUUUAGUGUUGUUAUGAAAUAUUAGAAUGCUGUUACUGCAUAUAGGAUUAUAGGACUGCUUGUUUUCAGAGAUGUUAUGAGUUAACUUCUGUAGGUUGUUUUUAUUCAGGUAGUUCUCAAGGUUUUGUGCAGGCUAGCUGCUAGAGGCUUUCAAAAAGACACUACGAAUGUACAUGUUUGUUUAGUUAAAGAGAAAGCAUUAGGCAAAUUGGUCUUAAAUGUUUUUAACAGCAGUUCAUUGCAUGUUCAUGAAGUCUGAAUCAAGGUUGAUCUAGCCCAAAAUUAAACUUAAUUUAACCUAAA